AAAGAUACCUGGCAGGUGAGAUACCAGAUUCACGAAGGUGGUUUUCCCAGGGCGAGGCUCACCCAUUGCCCUCCAGAUGUGCCGACCCCUGCGAUUUCCCCAAAUGUGGGAAACUCGACUGCUUGAUUUGUGGUAGUGGGGGACUGCAUUUGUGCCCUCCCCUA